GGACUACCCGGGUUUCUAAUCCCUUUUGCUCCCCACGCUUUCGUGCCUGAGCGUCAGCAAUUGUCCAGGUAGCCGCCUUCGCCUCUGGUAUUCCUCAUGAUAUCUACGCAUUUCACUGCUACACCAUGAAUUCUGCUACCCUCUCCAAUGCUCUAGCCGUGUAGUUUGAGGUGCAAUUCCGGGGUUAAGCCCCGGGCUUUCACGCCUCACACACACGGCCGCCUGCGCACCCUUUACGCCCAGUGAAUCCGAAUAACGCUCGCAGUCUCUGUAUUACCGCGGCUGCUGGCAC
rnacentral:rRNA from 1 species